UACGAAGGGGGCUAGCGUUGUUCGGAUUUACUGGGCGUAAAGCGCGUGUAGGCGGGUCGUUAAGUUGGGGGUGAAAUCCCGAGGCUCAACCUCGGAACUGCCUUCAAAACUGGCGACCUGGACUCAAGCAGAGGCAAGUGGAAUUGCGAGUGUAGAGGUGAAAUUCGUAGAUAUUCGCAGGAACACCAGUGGCGAAGGCGAAUUGCUGGGCUUGUGGUGACGCUGAGACGCGAAAGCGUGGGGAGCAAACAGG
rnacentral:rRNA from 1 species